rnacentral:pre_miRNA from 1 species
UGUGCUAUUUCUGGGUCGUAGAGUAAGACCACGUUUCAUUUUUUAAGAAACUGCUAAACUCUUUUCCAAAGUGGCUGUACUAUUUCGCAUUCCCACGGACAAGGAAU